GGGUUGUGAGGUUAAGCGACUAAGCGUACACGGUGGAUGCCCUGGCAGUCAGAGGCGAUGAAGGACGUGCUAAUCUGCGAUAAGCGCCGGUAAGGUGAUAUGAACCGUUAUAACCGGCGAUUUCCGAAUGGGGAAACCCAGUGCGACUCGUCACACUAUCAUUAACUGAAUCCAUAGGUUAAUGAGGCGAACCGGGGGAACUGAAACAUCUAAGUACCCCGAGGAAAAGAAAUCAACCGAGAUUCCCCCAGUAGCGGCGAGCGAACGGGGAGGAGCCCAGAGCCUGAAUCAGCAUGUGUGUUAGUGGAAGCGUCUGGAAAGGCGCGCGAUACAGGGUGACAGCCCCGUACACAAAAGCGCAUGUGCUGUGAGCUCGAUGAGUAGGGCGGGACACGUGGUAUCCUGUCUGAAUAUGGGGGGACCAUCCUCCAAGGCUAAAUACUCCUGACUGACCGAUAGUGAACCAGUACCGUGAGGGAAAGGCGAAAAGAACCCCGGCGAGGGAGUGAAAAGAACCUGAAACCGUGUACGUACAAGCAGUGGGAGCACCCUUCGGGGUGUGACUGCGUACCUUUUGUAUAAUGGGUCAGCGACUUAUAUUCUGUAGCAAGGUUAACCGAAUAGGGGAGCCGGAGGGAAACCGAGUCUUAAUUGGGCGUUAAGUUGCAGGGUAUAGACCCGAAACCCGGUGAUCUAGCCAUGGGCAGGUUGAAGGUUGGGUAACACUAACUGGAGGACCGAACCGACUAAUGUUGAAAAAUUAGCGGAUGACCUGUGGCUGGGGGUGAAAGGCCAAUCAAACCGGGAGAUAGCUGGUUCUCCCCGAAAGCUAUUUAGGUAGCGCCUCGUGAAUUCAUCUCCGGGGGUAGAGCACUGUUUCGGCUAGGGGGCCAUCCCGGCUUACCAACCCGAUGCAAACUGCGAAUACCGGAGAAUGUUAUCACGGGAGACACACGGCGGGUGCUAACGUCCGUCGUGAAGAGGGAAACAACCCAGACCGCCAGCUAAGGUCCCAAAGUCAUGGUUAAGUGGGAAACGAUGUGGGAAGGCCCAGACAGCCGGAUGUUGGCUUAGAAGCAGCCAUCAUUUAAAGAAAGCGUAAUAGCUCACUGGUCGAGUCGGCCUGCGCGGAAGAUGUAACGGGGCUAAACCAUGCACCGAAGCUGCGGCAGCGAACGUAUCACCCAAGACAACUUUGCGGAGUUGACGAUUGACGGAGCGAAGCGACGUCAAAGCGUUCAUUAAAGUCGAGUUGGCUUAGGGAUACGUUCGUUGGGUAGGGGAGCGUUCUGUAAGCCUGUGAAGGUGUGCUGUGAGGCAUGCUGGAGGUAUCAGAAGUGCGAAUGCUGACAUAAGUAACGAUAAAGCGGGUGAAAAGCCCGCUCGCCGGAAGACCAAGGGUUCCUGUCCAACGUUAAUCGGGGCAGGGUGAGUCGACCCCUAAGGCGAGGCCGAAAGGCGUAGUCGAUGGGAAACGGGUUAAUAUUCCCGUACUUGGUGUUACUGCGAAGGGGGGACGGAGAAGGCUAUGUUGGCCGGGCGACGGUUGUCCCGGUUUAAGCGUGUAGGCUGGUUUUCCAGGCAAAUCCGGAAAAUCAAGGCUGAGGCGUGACGACGAGGCACUACGGUGCUGAAGCAACAAAUGCCCUGCUUCCAGGAAAAGCCUCUAAGCAUCAGGUAACAUCAAAUCGUACCCCAAACCGACACAGGUGGUCAGGUAGAGAAUACCAAGGCGCUUGAGAGAACUCGGGUGAAGGAACUAGGCAAAAUGGUGCCGUAACUUCGGGAGAAGGCACGCUGACAUGUAGGUGAAGUGAUUUACUCAUGGAGCUGAAGUCAGUCGAAGAUACCAGCUGGCUGCAACUGUUUAUUAAAAACACAGCACUGUGCAAACACGAAAGUGGACGUAUACGGUGUGACGCCUGCCCGGUGCCGGAAGGUUAAUUGAUGGGGUCAGCGCAAGCGAAGCUCCUGAUCGAAGCCCCGGUAAACGGCGGCCGUAACUAUAACGGUCCUAAGGUAGCGAAAUUCCUUGUCGGGUAAGUUCCGACCUGCACGAAUGGCGUAAUGAUGGCCAGGCUGUCUCCACCCGAGACUCAGUGAAAUUGAACUCGCUGUGAAGAUGCAGUGUACCCGCGGCAAGACGGAAAGACCCCGUGAACCUUUACUAUAGCUUGACACUGAACAUUGAGCCUUGAUGUGUAGGAUAGGUGGGAGGCUUUGAAGCGUGGACGCCAGUCUGCGUGGAGCCGACCUUGAAAUACCACCCUUUAAUGUUUGAUGUUCUAACGUGGACCCGUUACCCGGGUUGCGGACAGUGUCUGGUGGGUAGUUUGACUGGGGCGGUCUCCUCCUAAAGAGUAACGGAGGAGCACGAAGGUUGGCUAAUCCUGGUCGGACAUCAGGAGGUUAGUGCAAUGGCAUAAGCCAGCUUGACUGCGAGCGUGACGGCGCGAGCAGGUGCGAAAGCAGGUCAUAGUGAUCCGGUGGUUCUGAAUGGAAGGGCCAUCGCUCAACGGAUAAAAGGUACUCCGGGGAUAACAGGCUGAUACCGCCCAAGAGUUCAUAUCGACGGCGGUGUUUGGCACCUCGAUGUCGGCUCAUCACAUCCUGGGGCUGAAGUAGGUCCCAAGGGUAUGGCUGUUCGCCAUUUAAAGUGGUACGCGAGCUGGGUUUAGAACGUCGUGAGACAGUUCGGUCCCUAUCUGCCGUGGGCGCUGGAGAACUGAGGGGGGCUGCUCCUAGUACGAGAGGACCGGAGUGGACGCAUCACUGGUGUUCGGGUUGUCAUGCCAAUGGCACUGCCCGGUAGCUAAAUGCGGAAGAGAUAAGUGCUGAAAGCAUCUAAGCACGAAACUUGCCCCGAGAUGAGUUCUCCCUGAGACUUUAGGUCUCCUGAAGGAACGUUGAAGACGACGACGUUGAUAGGCCGGGUGUGUAAGCGCAGCGAUGCGUUGAGCUAACCGGUACUAAUGAACCGUGAGGCUUAACCUUACAACGCCGAAG
rnacentral:rRNA from 1 species